GAUAAAUAAGUGACUUCACCCCACUAGAGCUCCAUUUCAAGGGAGGUAUAAUUUCUUUUAUCUUUUUUGUCUCUCCCCUAUGUGAUCCAACGUGCUACGUGAAAAUUGCAUGUCUACUUGCUUCCCUUAUUUUUCUUUAAUUUCUUUUAUUUAUGUCAUUUACUUUUGCUUUUCAUUUAAGUUAUUCUUUAUGGGGUAUGUGUACAUCUCUUGGCUUGUAAUAGUUAGGGAUUUAAUUAUUUUAUUCCUUUUCCCCCUUUUAGAUUGUAGUAGGGUCUCCCUAAUGUAAUAGAUAGGGCUUGGAGGAGCAUUCAAUGAAGACCUAUCGAAGUCAUGUGCCUAGCUAGCAAAUGUAAUAGUUAGGGCUUUAAUUGUCUUAUGUGUCUUGCAUGCUUAGUUACUACGUGUUAAUUUGCUUUGUUAGGGCCUUGCAUCUAGUCGAGCAUGCUAAAUGUUAUGUGCUAUGUGUUUAUAAGUGUUUUGCAUGUCUACUCGCUUUCCAUAGCCUGAAUGAAUGUAAUGGAUGAAUGUACGUUUCCACUAGUCCAACGCUAGUCGGAAUUCAUAGAAUGGGCUAGUCCAACGCUAGACCCUUAGGGAUUUCCCCUCGUUAGUACAUGUUUGCAUGUUCAUUACAUGUCAUGCAUUCUUUUUAG
rnacentral:lncRNA from 1 species